UACAGAGGGGGCAAGCGUUGUUCGGAAUUACUGGGCGUAAAGGGCGCGUAGGCGGCCUGCUAAGUCGAACGUGAAAUCCCUGGGCUCAACCCAGGAACUGCGUCCGAUACUGGUUGGCUUGAAUCCGGGAGAGGGACAUGGAAUUCCUGGUGUAGCGGUGAAAUGCGCAGAUAUCAGGAAGAACACCCGUGGCUAAGGCGGUUCUCUAGUACGGUACUGACGCUGAGACGCGAAAGCGUGGGGAGCGAACAGG
rnacentral:rRNA from 1 species